CCUUCUUUUUUAAUUUCACUGAACCCAGAGCUGCAGAACCUACAAGGUUUCUUUUUUCUUUUAGCUUAACUUUCUAAUAUAUUUAAACCCACAGAAAAUAAGGCAUAUCAAAACAAUAGCCUCCAAAGUACAUCACUCUUAAAACACAUCGAAGAUUAACAAAGCCAGAUCUCGUUUUCAUGUGACUUAUGGAGCUCGCUGAUCUAGGGCCACCGUUUCCUUCUCUUGCUUGGUCUCCACGAUAAAAGCCAGAACUGACCAUUAUUGGUCCGAAAAAUACUAACCCAUUCUCUAUUAGUUAUUUUCAGCUGGUGUAAGAAUCUUGGUUCCAUAAGCUCGACAUGAUGCUGCGAAGUUCUGGUUUUGUUGUAGAUAUGAAAUGCCAGCUCAUGUAUUAUCUAAAUGGUAAAGCAAAUGAACAAGGGAAGACACAAGAGUGAAGACCUUAAACAUUUGGUUGAUCGUCACAUGCUCUACGAAUCUUUUAUAGUAGAACUUUUUGCAAACUUAUGUAUGUUAGCUCCUGAAUUAUCAAACAAUAUAUAAUUUUCCAUUUAUAUGUGGAUAACACUAGUAGAGUAUUUUGGAGUAUGCUAAUGAAUAAAUCCUUCGCAAUUAAUAUAAAUUUUAGUAUGGUAUA